CAGAAGGGAGCUUGCUCCCGGAUGUUAGCGGCGGACGGGUGAGUAACACGUGGGUAACCUGCCUGUAAGACUGGGAUAACUCCGGGAAACCGGAGCUAAUACCGGAUAGUUCCUUGAACCGCAUGGUUCAAGGAUGAAAGACGGUUUCGGCUGUCACUUACAGAUGGACCCGCGGCGCAUUAGCUAGUUGGUGAGGUAACGGCUCACCAAGGCGACGAUGCGUAGCCGACCUGAGAGGGUGAUCGGCCACACUGGGACUGAGACACGGCCCAGACUCCUACGGGAGGCAGCAGUAGGGAAUCUUCCGCAAUGGACGAAAGUCUGACGGAGCAACGCCGCGUGAGUGAUGAAGGUUUUCGGAUCGUAAAGCUCUGUUGUUAGGGAAGAACAAGUGCAAGAGUAACUGCUUGCACCUUGACGGUACCUAACCAGAAAGCCACGGCUAACUACGUGCCAGCAGCCGCGGUAAUACGUAGGUGGCAAGCGUUGUCCGGAAUUAUUGGGCGUAAAGGGCUCGCAGGCGGUUUCUUAAGUCUGAUGUGAAAGCCCCCGGCUCAACCGGGGAGGGUCAUUGGAAACUGGGAAACUUGAGUGCAGAAGAGGAGAGUGGAAUUCCACGUGUAGCGGUGAAAUGCGUAGAGAUGUGGAGGAACACCAGUGGCGAAGGCGACUCUCUGGUCUGUAACUGACGCUGAGGAGCGAAAGCGUGGGGAGCGAACAGGAUUAGAUACCCUGGUAGUCCACGCCGUAAACGAUGAGUGCUAAGUGUUAGGGGGUUUCCGCCCCUUAGUGCUGCAGCUAACGCAUUAAGCACUCCGCCUGGGGAGUACGGUCGCAAGACUGAAACUCAAAGGAAUUGACGGGGGCCCGCACAAGCGGUGGAGCAUGUGGUUUAAUUUGAAGCAACGCGAAGAACCUUACCAGGUCUUGACAUCCUCUGACAACCCUAGAGAUAGGGCUUUCCCUUCGGGGACAGAGUGACAGGUGGUGCAUGGUUGUCGUCAGCUCGUGUCGUGAGAUGUUGGGUUAAGUCCCGCAACGAGCGCAACCCUUGAUCUUAGUUGCCAGCAUUCAGUUGGGCACUCUAAGGUGACUGCCGGUGACAAACCGGAGGAAGGUGGGGAUGACGUCAAAUCAUCAUGCCCCUUAUGACCUGGGCUACACACGUGCUACAAUGGACAGAACAAAGGGCUGCGAGACCGCAAGGUUUAGCCAAUCCCACAAAUCUGUUCUCAGUUCGGAUCGCAGUCUGCAACUCGACUGCGUGAAGCUGGAAUCGCUAGUAAUCGCGGAUCAGCAUGCCGCGGUGAAUACGUUCCCGGGCCUUGUACACACCGCCCGUCACACCACGAGAGUUUGCAACACCCGAAGUCGGUGAGGUAACCUUUAUGGAGCCAGCCGCCGAAGG
rnacentral:rRNA from 1 species